CGUUAAGUGGGCUCAAAGUAUUUCGCGUAUUGCUGCUGGCCACUGUUGAGCUUAUGGAAAUUAGCUGGCUGUCGUUUCAGUACGAUUUGGACGGUUAAGCGUAACGCAAGUGCAGCUGUGAGAACGCCGUUGAUGUCGGAAUAGUGAAGAAUUGGUGUUUUUUAGUUGUGAAUUCGAUUUCUCGUGCAAACAAAGAAAAACAAUAAGAAAAAAGCCUUGACAACAAAGCGGUAGCUUUGAACGAAACAACAGCAGCAGUAACCACAAAAGUAGCAGCAGCAGCAGAGUACAGCAGUUGGUAGCGAAUAAAGUAUUGAACAAAAACGUGUUGGCAGUUACUCACUUAGAACUAACUCCAACAACAACAAGCAUAAACGCUGUAGCAAAAGCCAAGAGCAAAAUCAACCAUAUUCGUUAAUCAACCAACUGCACAUGUCACCGAAGUGAUAUUUUGGCAUACAAUAUUUUUUUAUUGAUUUAGAUACACGAGCAAGCGGAAAUUACGUGCCUAUGACUGCGAAAUUGUAAUUCAGAAUUUUUAAUUUAUAAAAAUAUACUAAUUUGUUUACUUGCAAGAAAGCAUAAACAAAUUAGUAACAAAGCGGUCAACACAACCACUCAGCAACGGUCUCUUUAGCACAAAACAAUCAAAUAAAGCGCAAAUAAAAUGUUGAU